UCCGCUUCCGGCGACAGGUGCCUCCAUCUCUGCCAACCAACAUUCGGUGACCAGAAGGUAGCCAUCUAUGGCGGCAGCAAAAUCAGUAAGGUUUCUUUCCCUCUUGUGUUGUCUCUCCCUCCACUCCCCCCUCCAGGCUGCAGAUUUGAAACUGGAGCGUGCAGAUUUAUAGUUUUCUAAAAAGUAUUUUCAUGAAUUAGUUAUAUUCGUUCAGUUGUUCGUCCCACCCCUCUGCAUAUCCGACCCAUUCUUAUGUAGUUUAUUAUUAUAUGAGAGGAAGGGGUAAGGGACUGUUAGUUAAGAACAGUUGCAUCUAUGUGUUCUCAGCAAGAAAGAGAAUGACACAGUUAAACAUUCAGAUUUAAGCAAUAGAUGGAUGGAACUUUUGUUUUGCAGUCUAAUAACGAGAUAAAAUAAAGGUUCUUUUAUUUUACUGAAAUUAACUUUUACUUGAGUGAGGUGCUAAGGUCAACCUCUAUACAUGCACAUCCCUGAACUGAAAAUACACCCAGGCACCAAUUUCGGACAGUACAAAAUUGAUAUGAUGCUUGCUUUGUGAGUGAGUAUAUUACUGCACAAUAUCUCUGAAUAAAAGGCAUGGUUAGAAAUAAACUGAACCAAACUAUCGACAUCAGAGAGCAUACAAUUAUGAGUUUAAUUUCUCAGUUACAGCAAUAAUUGUACUGUAUUUGUAAUGAUACAUUCUUACCCUGCCAAUAAAUAUUUGGUUCAGAGCCCUUGAUCAUGACAGCUAGAAAUUAGCAAACGCAUUACAUAUGUUCAGUAAAGCCUUUCAAUAUUUUUUCCGUCGAUGUCACAAAAUAAACACCCCAAUUAGUAUGUUUGAGCUUGGUGGUACGUGCCCCCAUCUCUCCCCACUUCAGGAGAAUAGGAGCCAGCCAUCCAUGGCAGAAACAACAUCGUAAGUUCUGUGUUUGUGUGUGUGUGCGCGCGCGCGUGCGUGUGUGUUUGUGUGUGCGUGUUCAGAUUCCAACUCCCACCGGUGGACCAGAUUUUUUUUAUUUGGUUGUAAGUUUAACCUCUUUCAAAAAGAAAUCGUGCAGCUUCGGUUCAUGGAAGCAGAAGUCCUUGAAGUAGUAAAUUAUUUUUUUGCAGGGGAAAUGAAUCUUUUGUAAGUUUGGGGAAAAAAGGCCACUGGAAGAUGUCCAUAGGCAUAUGCAUGCAUCCCAUCGACUUAAUGCUACUACAAUUUACUCUUCGAAGAACCUCUGUAAGUACGUAUGUGAGAGAGCAAGCAAUGUUGGAUGACGUUACUGUUUACUUCUGAUUGGCAUAUAGGACUAUGUUCUCGUCCAGUAUACAUAUCUCCAGUUUUCUAUUAAUUCUUUGGUACAAACGGAAUACAUGUAGCACUUGGUAAAUGUUUUCAUGUGAAAAUAUCAUACUGUAACAUUAUGUUCUAUUUAGUUCCCAGAAGUAAUACUUGGUUUCAACUUUGAAAGACCACAUGAAUUCUUCUAUGGGGCGUCCGAACAAAAGGAGCAUCCCGUCACUACGGUAAUUUCGGUCACUUAUCUGAACAAAAAGGGCUAUGAACUCUUAAUGAAAUUGGGUGUCCAUUGGGGAUCCUUUUAUUGGAAAAGAUAAUCUAUUCACAUGGGGGCUGGGUUCUCGUUGACGAACUGGUACAUGCUGCUCUUAAAUUAGAAAGCAGGAAACUACAGGCCUAGUUGACAUUGGACCUUUAUGUUGUUCUUUUUUCAUAUAGUGAAAAAGAGAGUUCAUGUUUUGCAUAUGGCCAUGUUAUCUUAUAGAACAAAAAUAGGGAUAUGUUGACAUUCGACUUUUAUGUCGUCAUUCUUCCAUGAUGGUUUGCCUACUGUUAAUAUCCUGUUCUCCAACUAACACAUUCUUGCAAGAAAUCACAAUUGAUGAAAUAAUUUUGAGCACUUACUUUUUAGAAUUUUAUGUUUACAAGAAGAUUUACUGGUUACAAAGAUUUAACAGACAAACCUCUUUUUCAGAAGGCUAUUUUAGAUCCCACUAAGACAAAAUAGAAGCGUGCUACUACUAGUGUGUAUACUGGAACAUAAUGCAUGUUUGACAUGAAUGGUAUUGAAAAUUUUGAGUUGUUAUGGUGUCCCUAAUAACUUAAAGUUGUUGUAUAAUUUAACUGAACCAUAGUACUCUCAAUCAGAGAGUAAGAAAUUGGGAGUUACUAAUUUCUUGUAGAUUAAUAGUUCUUUUAUAUGCAACCAUUCAGUUGACUUGUGAAGUAGUCAUGCUUGAAUAAGUGGGCUGUUGUGAUGGCCUUAAUAGUGCAAAGCUAUGCAUAUAAAGCUGUCAUGUUUGUAUAAGUGGGCAGUACACAAAGCUGCUGUCAUGACCUUACUGUCCAAAUCUAAUGGAAAAUUGUUCGAACUAGUGUGUAUACUAUAUUGGAACAUAAUGCAUGGUUAACAUAAAUGGUAUUGGAAUUAUUUAGUUGUUAUGGUGUUCCUAAUAGCUUAAACUGUUGUGAAGAUGAACUUAACCAAAUUACUCUCAAACUAGAGAGCAAGAAAUUGGGAGAUAGUUUCCUGUAUAGUAAUAGUUUCUGUAUGUGGAGCAAUUCAGUUACCUUGUGAAGUAAUAGUUGCUGCCAUGCUUGUAAGUGGGCUGGUGUCAUGACCUUAACAGCGUCAAGCUAUGCACGUAACAUUCACAUUUUAUUUUGAGUUUCGCUUCAGCAAUUACUUGUGAACUUUUCAGCACUAAACUGUAUUUGGCUGAGUAUAUCAAUAUUCAAACUUGUUUGUGUCGCUUUCACUGUUUUGUGAGCCAUUAAUCGUUGUAUUGGUGAAGUGAAUAUUAAUAUAAUUUAUCUCGAGGAGAAACCGAAAGAAUUCCAGAUCUUGAUGAAUGUAUACCUCGGUUUGUGAGGAUCUGAAGAAACCAUUUUUCCCUUUACAGAUAGUGGAGCAAGAUUUCUUAUAUAUGGGUGAGGGCGUCAAUCAAUGUUGGUAGUUGGGACAAGGAAUCUCAUGACUGCAAUAUAUAGCUACCAUGUUGGACCAGGUGCGAUUAUCUUGAGUAUAGCUAGACGGAAAAACAUCUUUCGAAGGUAACCUGAACAAUCCUGUUUAUUUUGUGAAAUUUAAAGUUAAAAUAAGGGAUGUAUUCACCAGCUAGUCAAUCUCCUUCCAGGAAGAAUAGUACAUAAAACUCUAUGCUUAGCACACAUCUGCUAUGGAAAGUACAUCAUCAUAAAGCCUAGUUACUUAAGUUGUCUUAGUAAGAUCUACUCCCUCCGUCCCAUAAUGUAAGACAUUUUUUGACACUACAUUAGAGUCAAAAAAUGUCUUAGAUUAUGGGACGGAGGGAGUACAAAUUUGUAUAAUAAGUCUGCACACGUGUAGUCCUUGAAAAUCAAAUUAAAUUGCUAGAUAAGCAUUGCUCAUUACUUGUCGAAUGCCAAAAAGUGAAAAUGAUCUCAAUGAGAUGCUGACAAUACUACAAAUGUAGGAGAAUAAAUUAUUUAUAUAAUACAUAAUUAAUAAUUGUAUGAACACAAAUAGAUGCUUCAAACACUUCUGCUAUCUGAAGAUCAUGCGUACUCCAGUUUUUUUGCCAAUGCCAAUACAGUAAUUUAUCUUAUUUUUAAUGAGAAGAAACAAACACCUUUGCUGACCUAUCAACUCCUUAUGGAGAUGGUGGGCCGGGUGGGGUGAUCUCAGCCGAGGAUCAAAGUUAGUGUUAACACAUGGCUAUUGAAUUCUUUGUAUUUAUUACUAUUUACAUUUUUGAGGAUGUGAUUAUCCUCUAUGUUGGAAUUUGGGUACUGUAGUCUAGUUUCUAAUAGUGUAUUAUAAUUGAGAAUUAUUUGACUUUUGUAGGAAGCAAACAAAAGGACUACGCUCACAAGGAACCAUGAAGCCAACAAUCCACGUCAACUAGAUGUUUUAGAUUUCAUUUUGUACAAAUGAUGUAUCAUACUUGCAUCUUUUACCUGUCCUUUUGUGAACCUGAUGUAUGGUGUCUCCGUAGUUAUGUUUAGAAUGGACUGAAGGCAGACUGAAGUGUAUGUAUGGGAAAACUAGUUAAUGGAAUAAAAA
rnacentral:lncRNA from 1 species